GAUAUGCGAUAAUAAAAUCUACAGCUGGAAAUCAGGUAUUAAAAUUUCAUUCGAUCCGUAUCACACGGCGGAUACGGAUUUCGUAUCGAAUGAAGGCUCAAACCACUCGAAUAUAUCGUGGUCAUUAAAGUUUAACGCGUUGAAUCUUCGUAGCUUUCCCAACUUGGAAAUUUAAUAAACGAAUAAGGCAACUGCCGAUAUCUCUUAACCGCUGUUUUCACUGAUGGUGAGAUUUUUCUUUCAUGAUAGUGUUUAGAAACGUAUCUAUCAAUCAUUCUACCGACUGCCGGUUUCCUAUUAAAUUUGCUAUUGAGAGAUCCAUAAUUAUUAAAUGGAAUCUUAAAUUCUAAAAUUUGCAAAAAUAGCAAGGAUAAAUUUCUGCAAUUUAAAUCGCAGCAUCCUGUAAUGCAUAGAGUAAACUGGACGUAAACAUCUCAGGUAUACAUCACGAACGUUUCGAUUACCCUAUAAGGUAUCGCCAAGGUGUGCCGCAGCGAUUUUCCUCUUGGAAAGAUGGUUUUCUUGACUGACCAUGGAGACAAUGUUAACUCAUUCAACACCGAGAUCUAAUUAGAAGACAGAAUCUCCAAUAUUCUGUUAUUAUUUUCGUCACAAAGGAGACAAAGUAUUCAGAAAGUAAAUUCUUCGACGAAAUCAUUCGACCAUAUGAAAGGAUGCUCAACGAAACGAAACUGGAAACGAUUUUCUGAAUCGAUCUUCAAAAUCAGUUUAACUUAAAGAACUAGCUAUCAGAGAAAAAUUAUUUCAAACGUUCAGAAGUUUUUAAUAGACCGAACUUGAACUGAACUUUUUCCUCGUUAAAUUGAUUUUCUAAAGGGUAUGUCGCACCCCACGUCGCCGAGUUAACUUUUGUAAGAUUUAAAUUAAAUUUCAAUGGAAGCUAUAGUAGCUUCUACGCUUUACAAUAUUUUCUUCAAGGUAACCCAGAGUUAAACGACACACCUUGAAUUAGGUACUUAGUUUCCGCAACAUUAAUCGGCGGAAACAAUUGAGACAAAGAUCCUUUCAGAUCCCUUGAUAACCUACUAUACAACAUUAUACAGUGUGUUCCAUAAAAACCGUUCAGGACUUAUAAAAAUACAUAGAGCUGAGAAAUAUUAUCAUCUAGGAUUAUUUCAACAAUAAAUUACUCUAUUUCUAUGAAGUUUUUUUUUCAUAUCAAAAAAAUAUCUCGUUGUCAGAUUAAUUUAUAUUCACGAAUUUUAUAAAACACGUGCCCUGUGAACAUCGCUUUCGUUCGCUAAUUUCUCUUUCGCUCGAAGAAAAGCGUACGCGUGUCAAAGCAAACUUAAUCAACACUACAUUUUCUACGCAUUCCCCCAGGCUUUUCACCUGGAAUAAUUAAAAUGAACAACACAGGCAAAUGAACAAUUUUCACAGAUGAAUUUCAAUAAUCACAGCUGUGCAUG